GUAUUUUUGUUUUUUUGUAAAAUCAAAAAAGAUCAGACGGACGGUAAGGCUGGGGGUUUGGAAAUAUAAACCCCCCGUCCGGGGCAGGGCCCCAGAGGGAGGCCAUAGUUCAAUGAGUGCACACAGUGGUAUAUGAUCGUGGUUAUUGCCGGCCGCCGGAGAGCGAGCGCGGCAUUGAAACCCUGUAAUGAUCCUUCCGCAGGUUCACCUACGGAAA
rnacentral:misc_RNA from 1 species